CCAGCUCUCUUUGCCUUUUGGCUUAGAUCAAGUGCAGUACCUGUUCUUUUUAGUUUAAUCUCUAGAACGCCCCUACGGGGGCACUUUUAUUGAUUAAACCAGUUUUUGGCAACGGGUCGAGCGGCGCGCUGAGCUCCGCUCAAUCGACGCCGACCACAGUGUCGCCGGUAUUGCACUGCCUCUGGCUGAUGCGAAUGCAG
rnacentral:snRNA from 1 species